rnacentral:lncRNA from 1 species
GAUUGCUUAACAUGUUUAUACUUCUCAUGCAUUGUCUAAUGCUUCAUUCAUUUCAUUCUUUGAUUAUUUGGUUCAAUUACAUACUUGUUUAUAUCUGAUUUGUUUGAUUAAUUGUUGCCUACUUGUAUGAUGUAUGAGGCAUAUAUUUUUAUUGUUCGAUUGCCAUGAACAAUCCCCAUUCAUAACAAAUGUACCCCUCUCCCAUGAAGUGUAUAAUGUUUAUUCUUUCAUUCUUUAUUCAUCUGUUAAUACAAGAAUUAAAACGAACAUCCGAUAACCAUUUCAAAAUAAGGUCAAAACCUCGAUCCAACGUCGAGUAAUCAUUUUCAAAACUUAACAUAACCAGCAUGUAUUCAUCCAUCCUUUUGUAAGUCGAUUGCUUCAUGCAUCACCAUUUCUCUUGUAAGUCGAUUGCUUCAGGCAUCGCCAUCUACCUGUAAGUCGAUUGCUUCGUGCAUCGCCAUAUACCCUUUACCCCACUCCUUUUCUUGCUCCAUUCGUCGACUCUUGUUCCGUUUAGGUAGCACCCAUUAGGUAGAACCCUUUGUAUGAUAACAUAGGUAGGAUUCCCAUAUUCUUUUGUAUGAUAACAUAGAAUUCCCUUAUUCUUUGUAUGAUAACAUAGGUAGAAAUUCCCUUAUUCUUUGCAUGCUAACAUUAGGUAGAUGUUCCCAUUUGUAAAUCCUAACACAUAGGUCCACAUUGCAUGACAACUCUAGGGCAGAGCUUCCCCACUUUUUAGACCUUCCGUGCAUCUCCAAUCCUGUGGCAUGUCAAUCCGUCCUAUUGCAAAGAGGUAACUGCCUAAGACUCGAUUCAGCGAGCUGCGACACCUACUGCUAGGACGUGAACACAUUGCUCACUCUCCUU